rnacentral:rRNA from 1 species
UUUGGCGGUUCGACGCGGUGGUCACACCUCUUACCAUUCCGAACAGAGAAGUUAAGCACCGUAGUGGCGAUGGUACUUGUAAAGGGAGAGUAGCUAGCCGCCAGAA